rnacentral:rRNA from 1 species
UAGUGACCUGCGGAAGGAUCAUUA